AAUAAAGUAAAAAAAUUAUUAUUUGAAAUAGAAACUGAAAUUUAAAAUUUAAAAAGUUUUAAAAGUCUAAAUUAACAGUCUCGAAUAUGUGAAAUAAUGUAUGGAGUGACAUGUUGUGGGAAAUGUUUGGCUUCUGUGCUUUAAUGGAUUUCAGUCUACUGGGCCAUAAUGUUUAAUUCAUUGUGAUCCAUGGGGUUGUCUUCUGGGAAAAGCCUGUGGUGUAGCUCAUCUGUUGCAUGGCAGCAUAGAGUGUCUCUAUGUACCUAAGAUGCUGCUACAAGCAAGAUUUUCAUUGUAUCUAUACCUCACUUUCAUUCCGCAUAUAACAAUAAACCCAACUUGACCUGACUAGCAAGUGACCUGCUGCAGUGACAAAGAUGUAGUUGACAUCAAUGAGACUCUGACUUGAUGGCUGUCAAACUUGCUAUUCAAAUUGAGUGUUCACGCUCACCUGAGAACUGUCAAAAAUUAUUGUUAAUAAGGUUUAUUUUUUAAAUGUUUUAAAACAAAUACAACUAUCAUAUGUCACUCCACAGAAACAGGCACUUCAGCCCAUCGGGUCCACAUUGAUCAUCAACUAUCCAUUUAUACUAAUCCUACAUUAAUAUCAAUUUGAUUGUCCCCACGUCCUCUUCUACCUCCAGAUUCUACUGCUGCCUCCACUUUGGGGCGAUUCAAUAUCCAAUUAACUUAUGUACUAGCAUGUCUUUAAGAUGCGGGUGGAAACCAGAGCACUCUGAGUAUACCCACAUAGUGACACAGUGAACGUGCAAACAUCAUACAGACAGGGCCCUGAGGUCAGGAUUAAAUCUGGAUCUCAGGCACUGAGAGUUACCUUCAACAGCUGAUUUCUUGCUUUGAUUUGAAUAGACUUGCUGUUCUUCUACAAUGAAAUUUGCAGGGCAGGCAUCCCAGCAUGAGAAACUUGUAGAAGUGCACACUGCGCUAUUGUAUUUCAUGACUGGCAGCAGAGACAGCUCAUGACCACUGGACCAUAGUAUCUGGACCAGCCAGUUGUGAGUGUUUCCAUCAACAGAUUUUGCGUAGCUCUCAGAGGAAAUUUUUGGUAUUAUUAUAAAUAUCUAAGCCUGCCAUUUUCACCCAUUCCUUCUAUUCAGAAGGGAGGGAGGGGACGGCAUUACGCAGGAUUAAUCAAUCUAAAAUAUAAAAUCAGCACAUUUUUGCCAAAUUUAAGCUCACAUGGUGAACUGGAAUUCAAUGUUGAAUGCAGUUGGCUGCCUAGCGGGGACCCACCAAUAUGAAAUUCUAAAAGUUGCUGUUAUGUGAAGGGUUAUUGGUGCAUUCUCACAGAUUCUACAAUGUGGGAUGGGAUUAAUAUAGGAUUUGUUGGUCAGCAUGAACGGUGGGCUGAAGGGCCUACUUCUGAGUUAUAUGUCUCCAUGACUGAAUAUAUUGACUAAGGAAUUUGAGCAUGCAGCAUUAAAUAAAUAUUUCAUCUUCAAGUUAAGAAUCUGUGUAAGGGCUACAACAAAAUCGAUAUAACAAUUGAUAUAAACUUGUUGCAUCUGUAAAAUAAACAAUUUUGAUGGAAGAUCAUAUACUCAGAACAUUAACUAUUUCUCCUUGGUAACGAUUCUGCCUAACAUCUCGUUUGAUGGAAGAUACCCAGAACAUGUGAAUUAGCUAAAGGCCACUUGGUCCUUCAAGUCUGCUUUUCCAUUUUGUAAGAGCAUGACCACUCAGAUUGUAUCUUAAAGUCUACAUUUUUAGCUAGCCAUGUUCUUCCUCUUGUUUAUUAAAUAUCUACCUACCUUUGCUUUAAAAAUAUUCAGACUGCUUCCACUGAUGUUUCAGGAAGAAAAUUCCAAAAAUUCGCGAUCAUCAUAAAGAAAACAGUUUUGUUUCUUCAUAGAUUAAUUUUACUUUUGCACAUUUAAAAUGAUUCAAUCAUUGGCAAUGUCCAUGGUGCAAGCUUUCAAGUAUAGCAUUUGUUCUGUGAGAAUAAUCUUCAAAUAAACACAGACAUUUCUCUCUGGUCACUGGAGCUACAGAUGUGGAAGAGGAUUUGCUGCCAGUUGUGCUCGGCUCUGGUAUCCAGUACUCUCAGGUGUAACCAAAGAUGGAUCAUUUCUCCAGCAUGUUUUAAAAUGUAGUUUCUUUAGCCAAAGAAAAUUGUCCUUUUGCCAAUGUCCAGAUAUAAAACUAAUAAGUUUUAGAAUGAUACAUAGAACUUGGGAAAUACUCAGCAAUUAAGUAACCACAGGAAAUGCUUGUCUGAGCAAGGAGAUUCUUAUAACAUAGAACAGUACAGCACAGCAACAGGCCCUUCGGUCCACAAUGACUGUGCCGAACAUGAUGGCAAAUUAAACAAAUCCCUUCUGCCUGCAGAUGAUCCAUAUCCUUCCAAUCCCUGCAUAUUCUUAAAGCCUCAAAUGCCACUGUUUAAACGCUCCAGGUCAAUAUCUGUUUACCGAUUCCUUAGUAAAGUAAUAUAACAUUCAAACUGUCUUUUUUUCCACAGAUACUGACUGCCUGUUGGGAACUUCGAGCACUUUCUGUAAUAUUUACGAUUUCGAGAGGUGCAUUUUGCUUUUGAAUGAUAACAUUUUAGUUCAAAAUAUUGAGCUAUUAGGUUUUGGUUAGUUUUUGUUUUACUGUUGAUCAUCUGUCAAAACACUUGAGAUUAGAUUUGAUGGUUAAGCUACUCUGCCUUCUGCCUUUCUAAAUUGCAAAUAUUUGAAAAUGAAAAUCGGGUGUACUGGUUACUCCAAGGAGAUCCUGCAAUUCUACAUGGAAAAAUACAAAAAUAUAUAGUGCUAUAACAAUCCAAACAUUAUUAAUUCUUCAAAUAAUCCUUCCAAUCAUACAAAAGGCAAGGUAGUUUGUGAGCAGCAUUCUUGUGUUUAUUGGAUUGCUUUGUUGAUUGGUUCUUGUGAGAAAAGUGAGCCUAAAUAUGUUUUGUACUGUUAAUUGUUCAUGAAACAGUUGCCAAAAACUAUUGGGACACAUUUCUAAAAAUGUAGCACAUUAAUUAACUUUUAAUAAUCUUUAUUCAAGCCAUCUUCUAUAUAAAUGGUUUGGUGCUGUUUCUGCAUUGGGUAAAUUAAACUGCUUGUAUAUGAAACACACCUAGUUGUUAGUUUUAGUUUUUUUUCUUUUUUCGUAUGGCUGUAUAGUAAUUCGCAUAUCACUGUACCUUAAUUGGUACAUGUGACAAUAAAAGACCUUUGAAACCUUUGAAUGUACGGGUCAAAUCACCUAUUUACUGCCUGUGAGCAAUGAACAUCCCCAGUUUUUCUUGGUACGCAAUAUCAAGAAAGGAAUAUGAUUGAUAAUUCGGCAUAUAAUUGCAUACUAAAUGUUACAAUGUCUGUUUCUAGGAGCCAAGAGUGUUUUUGAAACUUUCCUUUUGGUGUGAAUGUGAGUUUAGAAAUGUUGGGAGGAGUGAGGCAGAAAUGUAACACUCCAUUCCAUUUCACUCAACGUCUAUUGUGGUUAGGGUUGCCAUCUUGCUGAAACAAAAGUUGUAUUCACUUUCGGUUAACAUAUAGCAUUUUUAUCUAGAGGUCUAUAUAAUAAAGCUAAAGAAAGCUUAUAUU